rnacentral:rRNA from 1 species
CCCUAUGGGGUGCAGCAGGCCGGCAAGACGCCGCUGCUGGCGCUGGAGGUGCUGGAUUCGCCGAAGGAGCGAGCCGCGGUCUAUUGCAUGUUCGCCGUGGUCGCGCUCGAGGCGAUGCUGAACUUCUCGGUGCCGCUCUACAUCCAGAUCGUGCAGGGCCGCUCGCCGAUCGCGACCGCGAUCGCGAUGAUGCCGUUCAACCUGACGGUGUUCUUCGCCGCCAUGCUGAUCGUGCGCUUCUAUGACCGCUUCACGCCGCGCCAGAUCGGCCGCUACGGCUUCAUCCUGUGCACCGCCGCGCUCCUGUGGCUCGCCUAUGUGGUGCGCAACGACUGGGGCGCCGGACCGGUGCUGAUCGGCCUCGUGCUGUUCGGGAUCGGGCAGGGUGCGCUGGUCACGCUGUUGUUCAACGUGCUGGUGACGGCAUCGCCCAAGGAAUUGGCGGGAGGGC